rnacentral:rRNA from 1 species
AUCCCGUCUUUGACACGGACUACCGAGGCUUUGUGGUGCGCUCUCAAAGAGUCGAGUUGUUUGGGAAUGCAGCUCAAAAUGGGUGGUAAAUUCCAUCUAAAGCUAAAUAUUGGCGAGAGACCGAUAGCGAACAAGUACCGUGAGGGAAAGAUGAAAAGAACUUUGGAAAGAGAGUUAAACAGUACGUGAAAUUGCUGAAAGGGAAACGCUUGAAGUCAGUCGCGUUAGCUGGAAAUCAGCCUUGCUUUUGCUGGGUGUACUUUCUGGUUGACGGGCCAGCAUCAGUUUUGACCGGUGGAAAAAGUCUGGAGGAAUGUGGCAUCUUCGGAUGUGUUAUAGCCUUUGGUCGUAUGCAUCGAUUGGGACUGAGGAACUCAGCACUUGUGCUUAGGAUGCUGGCAUAAUGGCUUUAAUCGACCCGUCUUGGAAACACGGACCAU